GACCACAGGAUGGCUAUGCCCGGCACCACAUGGAGGCACUAGCUGGCGCGAUGAGUCUCUUGAUCAUAUUUGCAUAUAUAUUAAUAUUCAUAAGAUAAUUCAUGUGCUACUAACUAUUCCUUUGCUAAAUGGAUGCAGUUUCGCCUUUGCAACAUGAUGGAGAUGGACUGCUCGACUUACCUGACGAGGGUACGUGCCGGAUCCCCAAUGACCCAGUUUGAGCAGACAGAGGCAUGGUCGAGACAGCGUGACCAGUUGCGUUCAGUACUGCACAACUUGGGAAGCCGUGUGCAGUAUGAAGACAGCCACGGAUCGUCCCAGGCCUCGUCGUCGUUCCCGUGUCCGGCGACCGCGCACCAGCAGACGCCUUAGUACUACACAACUGCAGGAUACGAUCCCACUACUGCGUUCGGACAUACUGGAAUGUUUGGAGGGGCACCACCAGUUGGCGGACUGUACUCAGGGAUGGUACCGGGGCCACAGGCACCGGCCUACAUAGGAUUCUACCCCGAUGCGGGCGCUGGACCUUCUUCCUUCUUUCGACCUGAGUUUGUUUCGAGUACGUUCGUUCCAGAUAACGAGGGCGUCACCUUAGAGGAACUCGGCAGCUUGACUCUAGACUCACCUGGCGAGCACGGUGACCCCCGUUGUCUUGGGGUAUUCACAGCUAGGAGGAGCACCACUUGGGAUCUCUCAGUAGCAAACACCGCAGCCCCCUUUGCGUCCUGAGCGACAUGUGAGGUCUUCAGAUCGUCACACCUACUCCGAGGGCCAUGUCCAUGCCCAGCAGAGGGCUAAGAGGGCCCGACAGCGUAGGGGUGGUUAGAUAUAUCCGAUGUUUGUAUGUUUGAUGUUUAUUUGUAAUGAUAUAGCUGUGGACCGCUUAUUUGUACACUUCAACAUU